UACGUAGGGACCAAGCGUUGUUCGGAUUUACUGGGCGUAAAGGGCGCGUAGGCGGCGUGGUAAGUCACUUGUGAAAUCUCUGAGCUUAACUCAGAACGGUCAAGUGAUACUGCUGUGCUAGAGUGCGGUAGGGGCAAUCGGAAUUCUCGGUGUAGCGGUGAAAUGCGUAGAUAUCGAGAGGAACACCUGAGGUGAAGACGGGUUGCUGGGCCGACACUGACGCUGAGUGCGGCGAAAGCCAGGGGAGCAAACGGG
rnacentral:rRNA from 1 species